CUCACUCUCAGGUGGGGUGGAUCUGCUUUCAAUGUGGCAAACGUUAUCAAUGGCGUGGUUCCUUGAAGAAUCAUAUUCGAGUGGAAUGUGGCAAAGAACCUACUUUCAAGUGUCCAAUUUGUGGCAGGAAGUUCAAGCAUAAACAUCGAUGGCAAUCUCACGCGAAAUCCAUGCAUCAUAUUAAUUUAUAACGAACGAUUCUCAACGAUUAACCGACUCUUCGGUUUUUUCGGAAGAUAGUGCAGCAGCACGAAGAAAUUGUGGUGGUGCUUCCAGUGCGGCAACCGAUACCUGUGGCGAGACUCGUUGAAGAAGCACCUGCGAGUUGAGUGCGGCAAGGAUCCUACCUUUGAAUGUCCUAUUUGCGGCCGGAAGUUCAAGCACAAACAUCGUUGGCAAUCGCACGCCAGACUCAUACAUUAUCUUAAUAUAUGACUUACGAAACAAGCUUGAAUCUAGCUAGUCACUGACGAUUAAUACGAAUCAAACAAAUCGGAGAAGUAACGACCAUAACACACGCUUCUUAUAUAAUAUGAUCGUGUGUUAUUACGAAAUUUACUUAUUAUCGAAUCUUAACAAUUUUAUCUCAUAAAAUAAAUGUUAAGCGCUGUAAAUGAAGUUCCACGAGUAGUUUGUGUGUAUAUAACAGAUUGCUUCUCAUUAAAUUCGUAAGGUAAUCGAAGGAAACUAGGGAAGCAAGGAAAAGAAAA